CAGCUUAUUCUGUGACGAUGUUGGGGUGCUCUAAAAUUCCGUUGCAUUUUAUUUUUUUGGCUACCUAAAUAAAUUCUAGUGCAUGAAUAGAUGCUGUAUGAAUCAAUUCAAUUAUUGCAUUGAAUCAAUUAUAUUAAAUUCCGUAUCUGGAUGGCACGUCGCCACUUUCACGUGUAUGGCUUGGGACAGUUGUUGGCUUUCAUUUUCCGGGGAAAAAUUGAUGGGACGUCUAUUGUCCC
rnacentral:lncRNA from 1 species